UACAGGGGGGGCAAGCGUUGUUCGGAAUUACUGGGCGUAAAGGGCUCGUAGGCGGCCAACUAAGUCACACGUGAAAUCCCCAGGCUUAACCUGGGAACUGCGUGUGAUACUGGAUGGCUUGAAUCCGGGAGAGGGAUGCAGAAUUCCAGGUGUAGCGGUGAAAUGCGUAGAUAUCUGGAGGAAUACCGGUGGCGAAGGCGGCAUCCUGGACCGGCAUUGACGCUGAGGCGCGAAAGCUAGGGGAGCAAACGGG
rnacentral:rRNA from 1 species